rnacentral:rRNA from 1 species
UACGGGGGGAGCAAGCGUUGUUCGGAUUUACUGGGCGUAAAGGGCGCGUAGGCGGGUCGGCAGGUCAGGGGUGAAAUCCCGCGGCUCAACCGCGGAAGUGCCUUUGAAACCGCCGGUCUCGAGGGAGGCAGGGGAGCGCGGAACUUCCGGUGGAGCGGUGAAAUGCGUAGAUAUCGGAAGGAACACCGGUGGCGAAAGCGGCGCUCUGGCCCUCUUCUGACGCUGAGGCGCGAAAGCCAGGGGAGCAAACGGG